AUGAGCAGGGGCUGUCAGGGAGACAUGAGUGUUGAGAGAUUUUAAUAGGGAUAUGAGAUAAACUUUAUUUUUACAUCAUUUAAAAAAUAACUGAAGAAACCAAUAGAAACCAAUAUUCAGUUAAAAACAAACUGAAGGAACUGAAGAAAUACAAUGAAAUAAGGAAGCUAACAAUACUUAAGCAAAAGAAAUGGCUCUGAAGAAAGCUUCACCAUAUUCAGGAUCAUAUUGAGCUGCAUUGAGUAUUCAGAGCAAACGUCAACCCUGUCGGCUCACAGCAUGAUCAACAGCGAUUCAUAAACUCAGAACACUCCUGGAAAUCUUGGUCCUUACUGGAAAAGUCCAGAGAAUAAAGAUUAAAAUCAUGACAAGGGCGGGAGAGUGGUCUGGUAAGACAUUUAUGGUUUGAUUUCUUUAGACUAUUUUAUUAGCAUUUUAGAAGGAGCAUGUGUCCAUGUAUUACUUGCAUGAUUAAAAUUUUAAUUUUCAAAGGA